ACGGCUCAGUAACACGUGGAUAACCUGCCCUUGGGUCCGGCAUAACCCCGGGAAACUGGGGAUAAUUCCGGAUAACGCACGUAUGCUGGAAUGCUUUAUGCGUAAAAUGGAUUCGUCUGCCCAAGGAUGGGUCUGCGGCCUAUCAGGUAGUAGUGGGUGUAAUGUACCUACUAGCCUACGACGGGUACGGGUUGUGAGAGCAAGAGCCCGGAGAUGGAUUCUGAGACAUGAAUCCAGGCCCUACGGGGCGCAGCAGGCGCGAAAACUUUACAAUGCGGGAAACCGUGAUAAGGGGACACCGAGUGCCAGCAUCAUAUGCUGGCUGUCCGGGUGUGUAAAAUACACCUGUUAGCAAGGGCCGGGCAAGACCGGUGCCAGCCGCCGCGGUAACACCGGCGGCCCGAGUGGUGAUCGUGAUUAUUGGGUCUAAAGGGUCCGUAGCCGGUUUGGUCAGUCCUCCGGGAAAUCUGACAGCUCAACUGUUAGGCUUUCGGAGGAUACUGCCAGACUUGGAACCGGGAGAGGUAAGAGGUACUACAGGGGUAGGAGUGAAAUCUUGUAAUCCCUGUGGGACCACCUGUGGCGAAGGCGUCUUACCAGAACGGGUUCGACGGUGAGGGACGAAAGCUGGGGGCACGAACCGGAUUAGAUACCCGGGUAGUCCCAGCCGUAAACGAUGCUCGCUAGGUGUCAGGCAUGGCGCGACCGUGUCUGGUGCCGCAGGGAAGCCGUGAAGCGAGCCACCUGGGAAGUACGGCCGCAAGGCUGAAACUUAAAGGAAUUGGCGGGGGAGCAC
rnacentral:rRNA from 1 species